UCUAUAGUAGUACUAAUGUGUCUUCUUCUUCUUACGUCAAGUACACAUUUACAUGUCUUAUGUAUAAUACUACUUGAGUCUUGUUUCCUUGACCUGCCUUUCCCCUGCUUCCACAAUGGAUUUUGAUUUCGAGGAUGAAUCUGAGGGGAGGAAGAGAAGAUCAUCCUAGCACUCACCAAGGAAAAUGCUAUGCAAAUUUCUCCUUUGCUUCUAGUUUGUGGAGCUCCAGGCUGUAGAAUUUGGAUGAUGGGAAGGCUUCAUCUUUUUAGCCAAUUAUAUGUUUGUGCGUGAUUAAAAAUAUGUACUGGUUGUAAUAUAUUAUUACAUAGCAGUACUUUUGAAGCUGUUCUAAAUUCUUGGAUGAUGUGAACUAUGGCACGCUUGUAAUAUAUAUAACAUUCUCAUUUUGGUCGUCA